GGGGUCACGCCCCGGGUGCGUCGCAGCCCCGGAACCAGGCGCCCGCCGGAGGGACCAACCAAACUCUUUUCUGUAGUCCCCUCGCGGACGUUAUUUCUUACAGCUCUGAGCAAAAAUUCAAAAUGAAUCAAAACUUUCAACAACGGAUCUCUUGGUUCUGGCAUCGAUGAAGAACGCAGCGAAAUGCGAUAAGUAAUGUGAAUUGCAGAAUUCAGUGAAUCAUCGAAUCUUUGAACGCACAUUGCGCCCGCCAGUAUUCUGGCGGGCAUGCCUGUCCGAGCGUCAUUUCAACCCUCGAACCCCUCCGGGGGGUCGGCGUUGGGGAUCGGGAACCCCUAAGACGGGAUCCCGGCCCCGAAAUACAGUGGCGGUCUCGCCGCAGCCUCUCCUGCGCAGUAGUUUGCACAACUCGCACCGGGAGCGCGGCGCGUCCACGUCCGUAAAACACCCAACUUCUGAAAUGUGACCUCGGAUCAGGUAG
rnacentral:rRNA from 1 species